GACGAACGCUGGCGGCGUGCUUAACACAUGCAAGUGGUGCGACGAACCAGGGCUUGCCCUGGGGCAAAGCCGCGAACGGGUGAGUAACACGUGGGUAACCUGCCCCGAUGACCGGGACAACCCGAGGAAACUCGGGCUAAUACCGGAUGUGGCGCAGAGGCUCAAGCCUCUUCGCUAAAGGAAGCUUCGGCCUCCGCAUUGGGAGGGGCCCGCGGCCCAUUAGCUUGUUGGUGGGGUCACGGCCUACCAAGGCGACGAUGGGUAGCUGGU
rnacentral:rRNA from 1 species